AGCGAACGCUGGCGGCAGGCCUAACACAUGCAAGUCGAACGAAGCCUUCGGGCUUAGUGGCGGACGGGUGAGUAACACGUGGGAACGUACCUUUUGGUUCGGAAUAACGCAGAGAAAUUUGCGCUAAUACCGAAUGAGCCCUUCGGGGGAAAGAUUUAUCGCCGAAAGAUCGGCCCGCGUUGGAUUAGGUAGUUGGUGUGGUAAAGGCGCACCAAGCCUACGAAUCAUAGCUGGUCUGAGAGGAUGAUCAGCCACACUGCGACUGAGACACGGCCCAGACUCCUACGGGAGGCAGCAGUGGGGAAUCUUGCGCAAUGGGCGAAAGCCUGACGCAGCCAUGCCGCGUGAAUGAUGAAGGUCUUAGGAUUGUAAAAUUCUUUUACCAGGGACGAUAAUGACGGUACCUGGAGAAAAAGCCCCGGCUAACUUCGUGCCAGCCGCCGCCGUAAAAC
rnacentral:rRNA from 1 species